rnacentral:rRNA from 1 species
UACGUAGGGACCAAGCGUUGUUCGGAUUUACUGGGCGUAAAGGGCGCGUAGGCGGCAAUUCAAGUCACUUGUGAAAUCUCUGAGCUUAACUCAGAACGGUCAAGUGAUACUGCUUUGCUAGAGUGCAGAAGGGGCAACCGGAAUUCUUGGUGUAGCGGUGAAAUGCGUAGAUAUCAAGAGGAACACCGGAGGUGAAGACGGGUUGCUGGGCUGACACUGACGCUGAGGCGCGAAAGCGUGGGGAGCAAACAGG